GGUACCUAGACGGAAAAUCAAGCUUAAUUAAACUAAGGACUAGUUUUCUAGAGUUUGACAUGAGAAGGUACGAACUAUCAGAGGAGAGAUAAAAUUUGUUGAUACUGGUGGGACGGACAACGGCGAAGGCAAUCUUCUACUAAAAACUGACGUUGAGGGACGAAGCCUUGGGGAGCGAGAAGGAUUAGAUACCCUAGUAGUCCUUGGAGAAAAUUAUGAGUGCCAUAGACUAAAGUGAAAAAGAAGUUCUUUUAAAAGAACUUUGUAUCUGAGCCUUAAUUGGAUACAAAGGUCUCGAGUAGCAGUUUAUAAAUGAAAGUGUAAGCAUUCCACCUCAUGACUAAAGCGGCAACGCCCAAAUUGAAAUCAUUAGACCGUUUCUGAAACCAGUAGUGAAGUAUGUUAUUUAAUUCGAUAACCCGCGAAUAACCUUACCACGUUUUGAAUUUAUUAAACAAGUGUUGCACGGC
rnacentral:rRNA from 2 species